rnacentral:misc_RNA from 1 species
UAAAAAGGGAAGAGUGUAGUCGCCAGUACAUUCAGUUACAAAAUGACACAAACGAGGAUAUACGCGACGUUUGGUGUUUUAUUAUUGAUCACAAUUGUUAUAUCAAAAGAAACUAAUGGAAGGACAUCACAUGUUGGAAGAUCCAAUAUGCCAAAUAUUUAUGAUAUUUUAUCACUUAUCUACAGACUUUGUUCCGUUAACGAGGGUGUUACUUAUUCCAAUUUGGAGUGUCUAGAUCAACAUAUGAAAACAGAAGUAGCAAAGAAACUUAACAACUGUUUUGCAAGGACCAAAUCGGAAGAUUCGGGUAUUUUUGGAUCUACUCCACCAGAUAAAAACGAAACAGACGAAAUAAAAAAUGACACAAAUGACAAAAGACAUCAAAAAACAAACGUUGAUUACAUAUGCGAACAAUUCACUAAAGUAUCACAAUGGUCAGCAAAACACCCCAAACCUCCAGAUGCAUUAACUAAAAUAAUCGGUUUGGGUGCAGUAGGCAGAAUGAUAUGCGUAAUGGGAAUCGUCCAAAGGCCAUUAGACGCUUGGGAAAAUGCAUUCUCGGAAUGUUUCCCACAAGAACCUAAAGGAAAGCACGAGAUACAAAAAUCGUACAACGAAUAAAUAUUCCAGUAUGUAAUCAAUGUAAAUACCCAUUCAUCCACGUCUGUUUAUUCAUUGAAAAAUACCAUCGGAAAUAUACUUUGAUACCAAAUAAUUAUUAAAAAAUUUUGUUUGAACGUAAUUUUAACUGUGCAUAAAAUAUAUGUUACUUGUUAUAUUACAUUAUUUAUAAUCAUUUUGUAAUAAUCGCGUAAUUACUAAAACUUGAUUAAAAAUUACAGAUUAUCUUUUAACCUUUAAUCAAACUAAUUAUUUUCGUUACUCUGCAUCUACUCUUUAAAAAGUAUAAUCUACUCUGUACUCUGUAAAGUAUAAAAUAUACGAAAUGUAAAUUGUAUUCAUUCUCAUCUAUAUAAAAUAUAAAAAUUAAAAUGUUUUGAAAUGCAUUU